GAUGAAGAACGCAGCGAAAUGCGAUAAGUAAUGCGAAUUGCAGAAUUCCAGUGAGUCAUCGAGUCUUUGAACGCACAUUGCGCCCCCUGGCAUUCCGGGGGGCAUGCCUGUCCGAGCGUCAUUGCUGCCCUUCAAGCCCGGCUUGUGUGUUGGGUCGUCGUCCCCCCCGGGGGACGGGCCCGAAAGGCAGCGGCGGCACCGCGUCCGGUCCUCGAGCGUAUGGGGCUUUGUCACCCGCUCGAUUAGGGCCGGCCGGGCGCCAGCCAGCGUCUCCAACCUUCUAUUUUACCAGGUUGACCUCGGAUCAGGUAGGGAUACCCGCUGAACUUAAGCAUAUCAAUAAGCGGAGGA
rnacentral:misc_RNA from 1 species